rnacentral:rRNA from 1 species
UACGUAGGGUGCAAGCGUUAAUCGGAAUUACUGGGCGUAACGCGUGCGCAGGCGGUGAUGUAAGACAGGUGUGAAAUCCCCGGGCUUAACCUGGGAACUGCAUUUGUGACUGCAUCGCUGGAGUGCGGCAGAGGGGGAUGGAAUUCCGCGUGUAGCAGUGAAAUGCGUAGAUAUGCGGAGGAACACCGAUGGCGAAGGCAAUCCCCUGGGCCUGCACUGACGCUCAUGCACGAAAGCGUGGGGAGCAAACAGG